CCCUGGUCCACAUUUUCACGUGAUAAAUGAUUGUAAGACUUCAAAAUGCGGAAACUUAUGUCUUCGAAGCCAUGAGUUAUCAGAGUCAAACAGAGGUUCAUCAUAUCUGGAAUUAACUCCUUUUCAAAUCUCAUGCGUUCUUUAAUGUCUUCUAUGUACUGAGGAUAUCCAGCUUUGGCAAGGCUAAAAAUCACCUGCAUCAAAACUCUAUCCAUAAGGUACCCUUCAGUCUUCUCAACCUCUUCUAGAGUCUUCUUGAUGCUAUCAGCAUCACCCUUUUCAGCAUACACAUUCAGUAGUGAUAAAUAGGUGUCUGGACCUGGCUCAACACCAGCCAUCCUCAUCACGGAAAGGAUAUUUUCUGCACUCUUGAUAUCUCCUGAUCUUGCAUGACCCUUCACAAGGCUACUGAAUACCGCUUCGGUGAUUGGGAGAUCUUUGCUCUUCAUAAAUCCAAGAAUCUUACUCGCUCCUUCAAUGUCACCCUCAUUGCAAUAAGCAGCAAUCAACCUUUGGUAUGUAACUCGAUUGGGCUGCACGUUAGCUUCCUCCAUUCUGGCCAAGAACUCAGUUGGAGAAAAUUUAUGCUCAUUUUGAAGGUACACUUUAAGUAAAGCAUUAUAGUGGCUCGUGUCAUAGACAGCACCCAGUUCUUUCAUCUUGUCCCAUAUCAUAUGAGCUAGCUCUGUUCUUUCAGAUGACAACACCUCCGGUAACAGAGCACCACAGCUUCGCAACAAAAGCAAGGUCUGGUUACUCCCUGGACACCCCUCUCGGCACGUUUCCUGGAAGACUUUUAGUAGAAGGGUUUUAGGGAUACGGCCAGUUUUUCUGACAGAAUGAUCCAGUUUAUUUAAUGCCCAGUCAAACUGCCAUGACCGUCUGUUUUGGAUUUCUGAGACUGGUUCUUCUUUAACACUUCCUUCACGUUGAGGUACAACUGUAAGGAACCUUGCUUGGUGAAUGACAUUUCUGGCGGCGGCGGGUGCGGGCGGGAGCAGCAGGGGCCGGAGACGCACGCAAAGGGACCGCAGGCGGCCGGCAGAACUUAGCAAGGCCGCCAUCCCCACCGCGCGCGCCGCUAGCAGAGGAACACGUG
rnacentral:lncRNA from 1 species